AUAAAAAAACUACAUUAAAAUAAUGUGAUAAAUAAUACGAUUAAAAAUAUAAUAAAAUAAUAGUUUAGGAUAACCCUAAUAUUAAAAUAUUAUAAAAUUAAUACUUAAAUAAUAAUAAUUAAAUAAUGAGGUGAUAAUUACCAUGUGAAUUUUGUGAAUUUCGGAUGAAAAUCACAUAGAGCAUGUUGAGAAAAGAAGUGCAAAAGUUUGCCACUUCUUCCCCUUUCCCACACACACCAUAUAUCUCACCUGUGCGAGCUAAGGAAGCCUGGAAGUGGGUGCACGACUUGGGUUGAGCCAGCGCACGCGGCCUUCAGGUCUCAUGCCUCAACAGCCCACCCGAGUCUCUCCUCGGCUAGGCCCGCUACUGCUGUUGGGCUGGCUUGUUGGGUCGGGUGUUCAACUUUAUUUUUUCUCCCUCUAGUGUGGGUUUAUUGGGUAUGGCCACGAGAUAAGGGCUAGCCUUCAAGUCUUGCCGAUGGGCCUCGGUCGACCCACCUGUAGGGACGUGCGACAUGGGCUGCAUGUUCUUUUCGAGUGUGCAACUUACUAACUUGUAGGUUGGGCCAAGCGGGCCAGGCAACGAGUCGAGUCACUCUGGUCGCCCGCUUGUAAGUGCAUCUCCUCCAUGUGCAGCCUCGGACACACCAUAUUCGUCGGGUAUGGGCUUUUUCAUAAUUCUCAUGCCCAUUAAUCUUACUUAGGCCUUAGGUCUUUUGGCUUAAAAACAUUUGGUCCAUCUUUUAGAAUAAUCUCAAUUAGAAAAAUAGGAAGGGAUGAAAUUACUUACCUAUUCUAGAUGUUCCCGUUUAAAAAAUUAGAACUUAUUUUCUUGUUUGAGUCAGGACCUACUAGAUUAUUCUUUGAUGCUGAUUGGCAUCAUUGACACCAUAUUUGAGCUAUUUAAUAUCACAUCAGCAACAGUGCAGAGUUAGGGAUGCAUUUGGGUCAAACCUUCGUGUUCUGGAGUGUCCCAACAGGAAUUCGAUUCCUAAUUCUCCUAUGACAUAGAUUAGCAAUUCUAUAACUUGAAAAUGGAAAUAAAUUAUAGCUAGAAGCUACAGUUAUUGAAGAACAGCAGCUUACUGAAAACAGAGCCACUUCUGUUGCAGCAAAAAAGGAGCUUCAAUUUUGGAAGCUUGCUACAGCAUUUUGGGAGCUUAAAGCUAUGAAAGGGAACCAUUGAAAGCUAAAGGAAGAAGAGAUAAAGUACUAGAAAGGAAAGGAGCUUACCUUGAUGCAAAAUGAGGUCAGAUUAUUUCGGUACACACACACGGACUCUCACCUAUAUUUUCUAUUUUUUUUUGUUUCUCUCUCUAGAUUUCUCUCAAUACCUUUAUGGUUUUUCUCCUAAUUUAGCUCUCUUUGUUUCUCUCUUGCAGAUGAAGAUGAAGAAAUGAAAGUGAGAUGGGAAGCCUUUUAAAACUAGAAACACCCAGCCAGUUUCCCUACUUGGUGCACACGCACAAGCUACGUGUUUUUUUUUUCUACUACAACUUGCAGUGGCUGGUUGAAGGAGGAU
rnacentral:lncRNA from 1 species